GAUGAACGCUGGCGGCGUGCCUAAUACAUGCAAGUCGAGCGAACAGAUGAGGAGCUUGCUCCUCUGACGUUAGCGGCGGACGGGUGAGUAACACGUGGAUAACCUACCUAUAAGACUGGGAUAACUUCGGGAAACCGGAGCUAAUACCGGAUAAUAUAUUGAACCGCAUGGUUCAAUAGUGAAAGACGGUUUUGCUGUCACUUAUAGAUGGAUCCGCGCCGCAUUAGCUAGUUGGUAAGGUAACGGCUUACCAAGGCAACGAUGCGUAGCCGACCUGAGAGGGUGAUCGGCCACACGGGAACGGAGACACGGUCCAGACUCCUACGGGAGGCAGCAGUAGGGAAUCUUCCGCAAUGGGCGAAAGCCUGACGGAGCAACGCCGCGUGAGUGAUGAAGGUCUUCGGAUCGUAAAACUCUGUUAUUAGGGAAGAACAAAUGUGUAAGUAACUGUGCACGUCUUGACGGUACCUAAUCAGAAAGCCACGGCUAACUACGUG
rnacentral:rRNA from 1 species